AUCUUAGAUGAUCUUGAAUAAUUAAUAAGAGGCUGGAACUACUACUGCGAGGUUUCUCAAACGGAAAACCCUUGAACACUCCUACUUAAAGAACUUAGAAUCGUUCUCUCUCCCAAAAUUUAACCCUUUGCAUCCUAAACAUUAAAAAUUUGCUAAGUGACAUAAGACUGAUCUUGAUACAUGUAAAA